CAACUAUCCAUUUAUGAAUAUUGCUAUUCUUUUCUUAAUGAUCUCUUUACUUUGUCAAACAAUCUAUUAUAUGAUUUGGAGAGAAUCAUAGUUCAACCAUCAUAGAAUACAUCCUCAAGUUUCACUUUUCUCUUGAUUGCCAUUGAUCUUUUAUUUGUAUCAUGGGAUCACACACUUACUUGCUAUCUUCGUUGCGAGCCAUAUGAUACUCAUUCAACACAUGGGUCAAUAUUACAACAUGAGUAUUAGAGUAGAAUCCUGCUCACAAUCUUAGGCAACCAAGUUAGUUCUUUAAUUGUUUGUCAUUCAAUUCACCAAAACCCACUGAGGGGCCUAGAUGCACUUUCAAUAAAUCAACUAACUAAUUUGACUAUAACCAAAAUAACUAAGCUAAAUCCACUAUACCGACAAACUAAUAUUUGUCUGUCUCAUAUGUACACCUAGAUUUUAUCUAAUACUUAACACUACACCAUUUAUAUAUCAUAUCGACUACUACAUCUACCAACUACGAGUUAAGCUAAACUGCGAGAUUUCAAAUAAUACCUCAAGCGAAGCGAAGAUCCGGCAGAGCUUCGCUUCAAUCUCCACCCUACUCCCCUCCUCUCCUCCCUCCCAUUCUUUCUCUUCUCCUCCCUCCCAUUCUUUCUCUUCUCCCGGUUCCUCUCCUCCCUUGGUUUCUUUCUCUCGUCCCGAAUGAGCAGGCGUGCCCUGGCCCCGGCCGUUCUUCGAGUUUUAAAGGGCGGGGCGCCUACCGCCGCCAAAUUCGGAGGUAAC
rnacentral:lncRNA from 1 species